UCUGCAGCUUCAGCCUUCAGCCCUCUUCUUCCUGCCGAGGCGAGGGGGCUGCUGGGAGGUUUUGGUCCUGCAGACUCGAGAGUCGCUGGGAGGAGAGGAGAGUAUGUCGGCCCCAGGUCCCGGGCUCUGCUCCUGCGCUCUGGCCUCGGGUUUCUCUGGGCGUAGGAGAGGAGGGCAGGGAUCCUGUGAAUAAAAUGGCGCAGACGUGCUUGUGCAGCUUUCCUGCUGGAGUCCAUGAGCGUCUCGAGGAUUUGGUGAGUUGUGAGAUUUCCACACAUUCAAAGGUGGGAGGCAAUUCCAAAUUGCUUUCCAGAGUGGGUUUUUACAAAUGGACAAGCUAAUGAGCAUUCCCAUUGCUCUGAAACCUCACCAAUAAUUGGUAUCUCCAUUUUUUUGACAAUCUGGUGGGUAAUUGUAUAUUGUGGUUUAACUUAAAUUUUCUCCAUAUUGAUGUGCUAGAGUUCCUUGGCGUGUUUACUGGCUACUGCAGGUUCAUUAUCUGAAAGUCAAUUGUUUUGGCCUAUUUCUGUAUUGCAAUGUUUGCCUUUUAAAGAUACUGAUUUAUAGGAGUUCUUUAUAUUUCCUGGAUUUGCACCCUUGACUUAGUUCCGGGUUUCCAACUUUUUCCCACACCCUGGCUUGUCUUUUCUCUUUCUUUAGCAUGUCUUUUGCUGAACAGCGAC
rnacentral:lncRNA from 1 species